GCCUAGCCCCUUGCUGAUCCGGCUCUGGCGUUCGGCGAGGGCUCGGCGGCCCGACCCGGCUGGCGCGCGGGCGGAGCCGGGGCGGCGGGGCUGCUGCUGGCUGAUUGCAUCGGACUGCGGGCUGCGACAUGGACUGUCCCGUGCAGCCCGAAUUCCAGCCUCGUUGACCCAGGCACACCAAGAGCUUUCUACCAAAGAAGCCCCUCCAAGCACUGACCAUGUCUAUUAUGGACCACAGCCCCACGACUGGGGUGGUCACAGUCAUUGUCAUCCUCAUCGCCAUAGCUGCCCUGGGGGCCUUGAUCCUGGGCUGCUGGUGCUACCUGCGGCUGCAGCGCAUCAGCCAGUCAGAGGAUGAGGAGAGCAUCGUGGGUGAUGGUGAGACAAAGGAGCCCUUUCUACUGGUGCAGUACUCUGCCAAGGGGCCAUGUGUGGAAAGAAAGGCCAAGUUGAUGACCGCCAACAGCCCAGAAGUGCAUGGCUGAGCUGGGCUGCGAAGGCCAUGGUUCUGUUUGCAGCCGGCCCAGAAGCACUGAGAGGGCAGAAGCAGACAUGUUGCUAUGUGAGAGGGGUUGACACUUGCUGGCAUGGUCUCCUCGGGCUUUGUCAUCGCAUGCACUGACUCCAGGUCCCAGCUCUUCUGGCCUUCCCCCUCAGCCUCCUGGUGGACUGUCCAUUGCAGGCAGUGGGCAGGCCUGACCUUGCUGGAGCUCGUGGCCCCUUAGCGCUUUCCUUACUUGAAUGUUUUAGCUGAGCCUGUUUUUGACGGAGCUACUACUGUAAUGGGUGAACUAACCAACCUGUGAACUGUAAAUAGGCCCAGAAGCACAUGCUUAAGCCUUUUUGCCGAUUUUUAAAAAUACCAGAUGGACUGGCUUGAUAAUGAUUCUACUCACAUGCACUGAGGUAUGACCAUGGGAGGGUCUUUGGCUGGUCUUGCGCCAGUUGCCCUUGGCAGGGUCCACUGAGGUCUUAGCUAUGCGUAUGGAAAGGAGGUAAAAGGUUAAGAAGCUGGGAUUCUGGGGUAAUUUCAACUUGCUUAGUAAUGGAGAAAACCACACCCCUCCCCUUCUUUAGCUUCAGCUUUGUUAAAUAGCAGUGUGUGUAGAUGGCAGAGUUACUGCAAGGAAGCUGUUGUACUUGCUUGGAAGCCUGUGAAGGACGAGACCUCUUGAGUCCUGAGGGUUGCCAGGCAGCUUAGCAGAGCAGUCUCUUGCCCUUUGGUUUGGAGCAUGCCCAAUACACCCCUUCAGCACAGGCUUUGCAGAAACUGCUCUGGUCCUUUGGAAACACCAGGGUCUGUGGUGGCUACUUGAAGUUUGAAACCCAGAAGGCAAGGUUGUUUUUGUAUUUAAUAUUUUCUGCACUGGAAUGGGGGUUGGGGAUAGGGGUGGCUUCCCCCCCCCCCCCACCUUUUCACAAGAGAGCUUCCUUUCUUCUCCAUUGAGUAUUGGGUUUCACUUUGAUCCUUAGGGCUUUGUAGACAGAGCUCCCUGACCCAGCUCCCAAGACACUAUGUGCCAUAGAAGGUCAUUUCUAGUAUGCACAUAGCAUUUCCAGCAGUCACCAGGAGUUCAAGUUGAGGGCCUGGUCCUCGCAGGUAAGGGAGCCAGCAGCAUGUCUCCUGGUUAUUUCUUACAUCUAUAAGCUUGCUCAGAUGUUAGUCCCACCACCAUAAUAAGCAUUCUAAACCAUUAUGAUUAAAACUGACUAUGCUGGCACCCUUGGUGAUGAAUAGGUGGCCAGCUAGCCCUGGCAGCAGAGAGCUUCAGGCUAGUCUGGAGACAGCUUUACAAAGCAUGUGGAACUAAUCCAUUUUCUAGAACCCAAGGGAGGAGCUGUAGGGAACACUUUUUGGCAGUUGUAUACCAAUAUGGGGGGGGAGGGGAGGGAGAGGCUAAGAAACAGUCUGAGGUUACACAGGAGGUAGUCAGGGAUGGACUGGCCAUAGGCAGAGGCUGCUAAGGCUGGCUUGGAUGUGUGUUAGAGCUGGGAGCAGUGACUCACUCUGUAGGUCUAGGAGGGGAAGAGAAAUAUCAAAGGAUCUGCCCGGAGUUGUCUGAGGCUGAGGGGUCUGACCCAUUCCCACCCCACAUCUAUCUUUCUACCUCUACUUCUUGCAGCCAGCAGCCUAAACACUGCUGAUCCUUUCUCCAUCAUCCAUGGAUCCAAGGCCAGCUUGGAUCUCUACUGAAGUUUGAGCCUGUUCAUCGCUGCACUGUUAGAUGCAGGUUGCAGCUUGUACUAUGCCGAUGAAGUUUGUUUUUCAAACAGACAUCAUCUCACAACAGACAUCAUCACAUUCUUAUCAGUUGUACUUUGGGGGAUCUUUCAAGUUUGAGUCAGUCCAUUCAGAGGGGGAUGAGUAAGUUCAGGCACUGUGGGGUCACAGGGAGGGGAAUGAACACCUGUAGAACUAUUGAGCAGCCAUGCAAGUCUUCCCUGUCCUUGGUAUCGCUGGCUCCCUUUGUAAGUGUGCACCAGAGCCAUCCACUCCAGUGGUUAACAAGCUAUGCCUUCUCUUCAGAUUCUUUCCCGAUAGUGUACCUAUUGUGGUCAGGUCUUCUGAUGACAAGAAGCUAGCCUUUCACCCUGGGGAGCAUGCAGGAACACUGAGGCUAAGCCACAGAAGCAAGGACUGACUUUCCGAGAUAUAUAUUCAAAUGGACUGUGCUACUGUUGUGUCUCAAAGCUAUCAGUUUGUGCAAUAAGUGGAAGGGAUGCCAUUCCUGAUCAAUAAUUGCUGAAUGACAUUCAAGUUCAUUUUGUAGACCACUGAGAAAAUCUUUAUUUACAAUAAAUUUCAAUAAAAUUUGCAUAACUAUAUUCCCAA